rnacentral:lncRNA from 1 species
ACUUGAGAGAAUUAUUUUCAUUGGGUGUAAAUGAAUCUACAAAAGAAAAAUAAGUAUUGAUGGUAAGGUAGAGACCUAUAAGGUAAGGCUGUGGCGAAAGGUUAUAGUUAGCGCAAAGACAUUGACUAUCAUGACACAUUUUCAUCUGUAGCCAUACUAAAAUUCAUCCGCAUAUUGCUUUCUGUUGCAGCUUACAAUGAUUAUGAAAUCUGGUAG